AAUCAUCAAUGAGGACCUUUCUUUUCGGAGAGAGGCUUUCUUGUUGGAAUGUGGAGUGUGCUGGCUUGUUCAGCUCCUCUGAAAUGCAUUAGCGAUGUGGUGUUCCACCUGCUUGAGCUUGCAUUGGCAUUGAUAGUCAUUCAUGUCAGAGUAGUUCAUCUGUGGAAAGGUUCACUUGCUCCUAAUUGUGAUGGACUCUCUCCAUCCUUUGACCC
rnacentral:misc_RNA from 1 species